rnacentral:rRNA from 1 species
UACAAAGGGGGCUAGCGUUGCUCGGAAUCACUGGGCGUAAAGGGUGCGUAGGCGGGUUAUUAAGUCAGAGGUGAAAUCCUGGAGCUCAACUCCAGAACUGCCUUUGAUACUGAUAGUCUUGAGUAUGGGAGAGGUGAGUGGAACUGCGAGUGUAGAGGUGAAAUUCGUAGAUAUUCGCAAGAACACCAGUGGCGAAGGCGGCUCACUGGCCCAUUACUGACGCUGAGGCACGAAAGCGUGGGGAGCAAACAGG